GUAUAUAUUGAAUAUUAACUUUCUAUCUUUUAUAAAACAUAAGUUUGAAAAACCCUUGGCGGGGAGUCCCUAAAUUGGGCGCAAUAAAUUGCGACCCCGCCAAAGUAACCAAGACAGUUCACAAAGGUGUGGGAUUGAAUUAGGCCUCAAGGGCCAAUUCAUUAAUGAUCCUUCCGCAGGUUCACCUACGGAAA
rnacentral:misc_RNA from 1 species